UCGUCUUGACUCAAGUCUGCGAAGUGUAGGCGUCAUGGCUGAACU
rnacentral:ribozyme from 1 species